rnacentral:rRNA from 1 species
GACGAACGCUGGCGGCGUGCUUAACACAUGCAAGUCGAACGGAAAGGCCCUGCUUUUGUGGGGUGAUCGAGUGGCGAACGGGUGAGUAACACGAGCGUAACCUGCCCUUGACUUUGGGAUAACUUCAGGAAACUGGGGCUCAUACCGGAUAGGAGCUCCUGCUGCAUGGCGGGGGUUGGAAAGAUUCGGCGGUUGGGGAGGGACUCGCGGCGUAUCAGCUUGUUGGUGGGGUAGUGGCUUACCAAGGCUUUGACGGGUAGCCGGCCUGAGAGGGUGACCGGCCACAUUGGGACUGAGAUAGGGCCCAGACUCCUACGGGAGGCAGCAGUGGGGAAUAUUGCACAAUGGGCGGAAGCCUGAUGCAACAACGCCGCGUGCGGGAUGACGGCCUUCGGGUUGUAAACCGCUUUCGCCUGUGACGAAGCGUGAGUGACGGUAAUGGGUAAAGAAGCACCGGCUAACUACGUG